CUCAACUUUAGCUUCUUCCUUUUUAUUUGAAAAACAAGAUCCCACUACCUGCCCUAGGGUUCAUCCUCAACUCCCAAUCUUAUUUCACAUCCCCUAAAAUUUUAGGGUUUUUAUAAAUACCCAUCUUCCCAAAUUACUUCUUUUUGCCCUCUAAUUCAUUCAAUAUAUGCCUAAUCUAUCUCAUUUUACUUAAUAAUCCUUUUUUCCCUCUUAUAUAUAUUUAUCAUUUAAAUGGAAGAUUCCUUCUUCUUCUUCACAUCAUGCUGCCUCUUGAUCCAGGUUAAUUUUUCUUACUUUUUUCCUUUUUUUUUUUGUUUGUUUUUUUUUCCAAGGGAAUACAUGAGCUUUAAUUUCUUUGGAGAGAUCUGACUUUUUAUUCAAAGUUUUGAUCAGUUAAUCUAAUGGGUUUUUUUUCCCUUUAUUUGGAAAAAUCUGAGUCCUCUUUGCAGAGAGAUUAUGUUUUUUGUUUUUUUUUUUAAAGAAUUAUUAUUCAUCUUGAUUAUAGAGUUAUCUUUUUGCUUGUUUUGGAGGUUUUUGAGAAAUCCCAUGACAAGUAGGAGAAAAAAGAAUUGAUUAUUCAUAGUCUUAGAUUUUCAAGGCCACCUGAAUGCUUGGUUCAAAAACAUUAUAACUUUUUUGUUUUUGUUUUUUUUUUUAAAUGAUGUUCCCAACUAUGUUCUUUUCUCCCCACUUUUGUGAAAAACUUUCUUUGUGUAGAUUCAUUAGUUAUAAUCACUAUUUAUUAAUUUAAAUCCUAAUUAAUCUUCCCAAUUAUUAUAUUUUCAAAUUAUAUUCAUUUUGAAGUCUUCCCUUCGUAUCUCAUAUUCCAAUUUAGUUUACUUUUUCAUUCCUAAUUUUGGUUUUGUUAGGAUAUAGAGUGUUCUAAGUCUAUUUAAUUAGGUAAAUUAUGUAUCACUCAACAAACUAUUUUUUUCUAACUCAAAAAGUUUUUAACAUUUUAAGCAGUUGAUUACCAUAGUUUGAAUAAUAAUUAAUCUAUAUGAUUCGUGAAUAUCUCAGACCAAGUUUCGAACAUGAAAGAUUGCAUGGAGAAAUAGAGAGAGAGAGCUUCCUUCAGUCCACUCAUAGAGGGAUUCAAAGGGGUUGCUGAAGUAACUGCCGACUCAUUCACUCAAACACUCAGUAGAACUCAAAAAGAAAUUAUCCAAGAAAAAGAAAAGAAAAUUUGGUUCAAAGUAUAUUCUUUUCCUCUAUUGUGAUUGUGUGAAUGAAGCGGGAGAUAUUUUGCACUCUCUCUUAUUCUUUGCUUGGACUGAAGGGAGCCCCUCCUUUUUACUUUCCCCAUAAAACUAUCAAACCCCAAAUUUAUUCAAUAAUUCAAUUCACCUCUGGUUCUUUUUUCUUUGAUGUGUUUAGAUCUUAUCAUUUCCCUAAAUCAUCUUAAUGGGUUCAGGUCGAAUUUUGGUAGGGUAAAAUGUGAUCGGUUUGGUAGAAACACUCUCGGUUCGAGCAUUUAAUGUUUUGCUCGCUUGUUAUGAUAAUCAAAUUAAGUGAUUAGAAGGGGUUCCUGAAGUGAGAGAGAACUACUUUAUUUUUAUAUAUUUCAAAAUUUGAUUUACAAUAUCUUGAUGACACUCUUAGAAUGUAAACAGCAAAACAAAAAAAUCAAUAGCGUACAUGUAAAAUAGUGUUUAUAUAGAUUUGACUUUUAGAAACCAAAUAUCUAAAAAUCAUUUGGUUAAAAAACUUUGACCAUACAUUUUGCUCUAACGAAUAAACUCGAGAUAUUUCUUAGUGUUGGAUGGUAUAUAUCAAAAUUCUCUAGAGGUCUUUUGUCGUAUUUCUCGUUUAUUAAAUAGUAUUAAUAUUAUUUUUUGUUGAAGCAAAAUGAUUGAGUUGGGAAUUAGGUUUAUCUCUUUAUUAAUAUACCUAUGCUAUUUUAUUUUCUCGAGUUUAACAUGUGUGGUAGGAAGAUUCAAAUCUCUAGAUCUUAUAGUUGGAAGAGCAUGUCUUGAUCCAAGACAAGAUGCACAUAUACUAUUGUCCACUAUGGUUUAGGCCAAGACUUCCAUAGCUACCUGCAAAACCUGUCCCUGAAAAGGUAAAAUGUUUGGUACCUUAUCUUACAAAUUCACUUUCACAGGUGAAAACAUAGGAAUCAACACAAACCAAACCAUACUCCUUUUCACUGGUUUCCAUUUGGUUUGGUUUAAUUCCAUUAGAAAAUGGAUGGUAUAUAUCAGAGCAAACUGUUUGUUUAAACUAUUUGGUAUGAAACACUAUUAGCCUAGUUGAGAUAUUUCUGAUGCACAUGUUGAUUGCUCGUCCCUUUCAUAUAUUUUUGUUCAAGGGUUAGAGAAGUUAUUUCUGUAGGAAAAAGAGUCCAAUUCAUAUGCAAAAGAUUGGUUUAGGAUUAAUUUGAUGAUGUGCAACUGUUUCUGAAGUAAA